UACGUAGGGGGCGAGCGUUGUCCGGAUUUAUUGGGCGUAAAGAGCUCGUAGGCGGCUUAGCAAGUCGGGUGUGAAAACUCCAGGCUCAACCUGGAGACGCCACUCGAGACUGCUAUGGCUAGAGUCCGGUAGGGGACCACGGAAUUCCUGGUGUAGCGGUGGAAUGCGCAGAUAUCAGGAGGAACACCAACAGCGAAGGCAGCUCGCUGGGACGGUAUUGACGCUGAGGCGCGAAAGCGUGGGGAGCGAACAGG
rnacentral:rRNA from 1 species